rnacentral:rRNA from 1 species
AGAGUUUGAUCCUGGCUCAGGACGAACGCUGGCGGCGUGCUUAACACAUGCAAGUCGAACGGAGAACUUAUUUCGGUAAGUUCUUAGUGGCGAACGGGUGAGUAACGCGUGGGCAACCUGCCCUCCAGUUGGGGACAACAUUCCGAAAGGGAUGCUAAUACCGAAUGUGCUCCCUCCUCCGCAUGGAGGAGGGAGGAAAGAUGGCCUCUGCUUGCAAGCUAUCGCUGGAAGAUGGGCCCGCGUCUGAUUAGCUAGUUGGUGGGUAACGGCUCACCAAGGCGAUGAUCAGUAGCCGGUCUGAGAGGAUGAACGGCCACAUUGGAACUGAGACGACGGUCCAAACGUCCUACGGGAGGCA